UCCCUGCGGUUCUGAGCGCGCCGUCCGCGCCCACCUGACAGCUGCUCGCGACGUUGUGUUAACC
rnacentral:sRNA from 1 species